ACUAGAAAUACCUAACUCAUUUAUUUUCCAACAAUCCAGUUUUUGAUUGAUUCACAAAUCUUAUAAAAAUUGGUAUUGAUUGCAUACCAACUAUUUGUAAUUAAUAUUUACCUACAAUAAAAUUAAAUUUAAUAUAGGUAGGUAGGUACCUAUACAAUAAUACUCCAUAUUAGUUAUUUUCAAUAAUAUUUCCAAUUUUUUAUUCUUCUUCACCCACCGUUAUAUUAUUAAUUUCUUUAUUUAGCAUACCUACUCAAUAUUGCAUUUAUCCAGAACAUUAUUGCCUUCUAUAUUAUAAAAUUGUGUAAAACACAAUGUUCGUUAAUCGAAUAUUUUCUGUAUCAAAUUUUAAUCCUCUAAAUUUGCAUUUUAUUAGUUCAAACCUUUCUACAGCUGACCGAAUCUUUAAUUUAUUAUCAAAAUUUUCUUGUUCUUGUAGUAAACGUUUAUUAUUCUGGUAAGAUUUCAUUAAGUUAAGUAUCUAGAUAUGCCGAAUUUUGAAUGAGAUAUAUAUUCGCUGGUAAAAUGGAAUCUGCUCGAGUUAAAUAGUUAAUAGGCCUGGAUCCUGCAUACCAAAAGAAAGUUUAUUAAUAGCAAGCUGAAAAUUUAUUAUUAGCUUAACGGUGUCUAGUCGGACAAACUUUGAUGUUUUAAUUUAAAACAAACACUGGAACGGGAAGUUUUAAUUGUUGAACAGGUUACAGGUUUCGAACGUCAGACUACAAAAACGUCUCAUGUAUUGUGUCGGACAGAACUUCCAAUUGAUUUGCUACUCUUUCAUUAGCAUGCAAAAUCAGACUGCUAUUUAUCACCAAUAUAAUUCCUAUCCUCUGACAUGUUCUACGUGUCGGAAUUAUUAAAAUGCCCAACAUAGAGAGAGAGACAUACUUUAUUGAUACAAUGUACUAAAAGGCCAUCGACCAAAGUCUUUCAGCCAACCCAGGCAACCAAGUGACGUCAACAACGUCGAGGAAACGUCAGUAUUUGGUGGAAUAUAUACACGUAGUUGAACAUUACGUCAUAUCGACGUCUUUUGUAGGUGAUUUUAAAUACGUAAGAUUAAUGACGUUAAAAUACGUUUAAAAGACGUUUUCAUUUCAGCCAGCCUAAGUCUGACGUCAUGAAAUUGGGAGGAGCUUGGAGCUUAAAAGUUACAAAACUAGGGUUAUGUUUGUAUCAUCGUUGUCGUUUCAUUUCAUUGUUUGUUUGUCCUAGUAUUUUGCCUUUUUUGGAUUCAUUUGGAUUUUGUUGGCUGUUUUGUGUGUAUUUUUUAAAACUUCUGUUUGUCAUUUGUAAAUUUUAUAAAUUUACCACAAUGCAAAGUGAUUAUUUAAGGAAAUUAUUAAUGGAAACUCCGCAGAUGUUUUAGAAAGAUAUUCAUUGAAACUGAAAAUAAUUGGAGAUUUAGAUCCAUAUACAAUUCAGUCAUCAGAAUUGGAUUUUACAGUGCAUUCCUUCAAUUACUGUUAUAAUGCUAUUAUAGAUAGACUGCUAGAGUCUCACAGUUACUGCUUUAAGCAGCAGAUGAAAGCAUACAAAAGCCUUCAGGCACAUAAAAGCCUUCACAACUGGAUUUGUUUUGAAACAUUGAUGUUUUGAUGAUUUCUAUAUUAUUGUUGGAAAGGUGAAAAAUUCCCAAAAAGCUAAUGCUAAACCGCUAGAUGCUUCGGUGAAUAGCCAGUUCCAAUGGCAUAGCAAAUGCACAUUGUAUGUGUAUGGCCAGUAAUAGUGAAAUUUGCAGCCAUAUUGCAGCAAUCUUAUUUGCAGCUGAGUAUGCCCACAGCAAGACAGAAGAAGAAGAACCCAAUGCAUGUACAGAUGUUACAGCUAUGUACAUUCUCUGGUGAAAAACUAAUGAGUUUUCAAGCUGUUCGGUCAGAGUGCUUGUUGCACUCUCUAAACGAACUGAUAUAUAAGACGGCUUUGGCUUCAUGUUGCAGUGAUAUGAAAAUGGUUAGUCAUUUUUAAUUAUAAUGUACUUCUUCAUCAUGAGUAUUUAUGUAUAGGGCUUUUCAUUCACAGUCAUUUGUUUCGAGCUUCUGUCAUGUGUCACAUAAUAUUAAUAUUAUAUCUACGUCAUACGUUAUUGGUAUAUAUCAAUGAUACACACCAAAGACAUAUGGCAUAGAUAUAUUAAUAUUAUGUGACACAUGACAGAUGCUCGAAACAAAUGACAGUCGAUAAAAAGCCCUAUUAGUCUUUUAAGUGUGUAUUAUCAGAUAUCACAUGUAAAUUGUUUUUAUCAUGUUAAUUUGGUCAUUACAGUCCCUUAAUCAAAAAAUAUAUUUUUCAGGUGUCUGUGGAUCUUUUUGUAUGCAAAAAUUUGUAAUAAUUAUUUGAAAUCAUUUUGAGGAUUAUUAGAGUAUGGAAAUAUAUGUGAGAACACAUACUAUUAUAGUUUUGUCCUAUUUUUUAUCAUUCAAUAGUCUUCUUAAAAUUUAUAAAUAUAAAGCAGAUAGUUUUCAUUGAAAUUCAAUAUAUUGGGUCUUAUUUGUAUGUAUUCAUUUUUGACUAAAGGUACGAUUCCGAUAACGACUGCAGACAGCAACUGCAAACAUCAGUUGCAGUUCUCGGCGUUAUGGAUGUUACUACUUUGCACUAUUUAUCUGUAUGAGACUUAUUCCGACAUCUGACUGCAACUGCUGUCUGGCAGAACGUCAGUUGCUAAUAAUUAUGCAAAUUAUUAGUGCAAAAUAAUGACGUCUGUCAUGGUGACAACUGUAACUGCCAUCUGCAGUUGUUGUCGGAAUCAUACCUUUAAAGUGUGUGGUAUAAUUAUAAUAAUAUAUAUAUAUAUAUAUAUAUAUAUAUAUAUAUAUAUAUAUAUAUAUAUAUAUAUAUAUAUAUAUAUAUAUAUUAUAUAACUUAAAUGGUUUAAACCUAAGUUUGUUAUUACAUUGUGACUUAAAUGUUUAAUUUGUUAAUAAAUGAUUUAUUAGUUUA